AUAAACAACGACAAGGCUAAGGAGCUAUUUUUAUGAUGGUGUUGCCAUUAAACUUUCUAGGAGUACAUAGUGGCCCGUAUAGCUGGCAUUAACAUUCCUGAU
rfam:Candidatus Moranella endobia PCIT, complete genome.